rnacentral:piRNA from 1 species
GCUUCUGUCGUGAGUGGCACACGUAGGGC